rnacentral:rRNA from 1 species
AACGAACGCUGGCGGCGUGCCUAAUACAUGCAAGUCGAGCGAAUCUUUUGGGAGCUUGCUCCCUUAAGGUUAGCGGCGGACGGGUGAGUAACACGUGGGUAACCUGCCUGUAAGACUGGGAUAACUUCGGGAAACCGGAGCUAAUACCGGAUACUUUCUUUUCUCGCAUGAGGGAAGAUGGAAAGAUGGUUCUGCUAUCACUUACAGAUGGACCCGCGGCGCAUUAGCUAGUUGGUGAGGUAACGGCUCACCAAGGCGACGAUGCGUAGCCGACCUGAGAGGGUGAUCGGCCACACGGGGACUGAGACACGGCCCAGACUCCUACGGGAGGCAGCAGUAGGGAAUCUCCCGCAAUGGACGAAAGUCUGACGGAGCAACGCCGCGUGAGCGAAGAAGGCCUUCGGGUCGUAAAGCUCUGUUGUUAGGGAAGAACAAGUACGAGAGUAACUGCUCGUACCUUGACGGUACCUAACCAGAAAGCCACGGCUAACUACGUGCCAGCCGCCGCGGUAAAAC